ensembl:snoRNA SNORD79 Small nucleolar RNA SNORD79
AACUGUUGAUGAUGAUUCUUGUUGUGAAACAAUGGGAAUCUCUCUGAGAAAAGUGAAGAGGACUUUUGUUCUGAUGCAGUG